GACGAACGCUGGCGGCGUGCUUAACACAUGCAAGUCGAACGAUGAAGUUCCUUCGGGAAUGGAUUAGUGGCGAACGGGUGAGAAACACGUGAGAAACCUGCCUUUCAUUUUGGGAUAACUCCGGGAAACCGGAGCUAACACCGAAUACUCCGUCUCGGCGGCAUCGCUGAGCCGGGAAAAAAUUAUGAUGAAAGAUGGUCUCGCGGCCUAUCAGCUAGUUGGUGAGGUAAUGGCUCACCAAGGCGACGACGGGUAGCCGGCCUGAGAGGGCGACCGGCCACACUGGGACUGCGACACGGCCCAGACUCCUACGGGAGGCAGCAGUGGGGAAUAUUGGGCAAUGGGCGCAAGCCUGACCCAGCGACGCCGCGCGAGGGAUGAAGGCCUUCGGGUUGUAAACCUCUUUCAGUAGGGAAGAAGCGAAAGUGACGGUACCUAAAGAAGAAGCACCGGCUAACUAUGUGCCAGCCGCCGCCGUAA
rnacentral:rRNA from 1 species